GAUGAACGCUGGCGGCGUGCCUAAUACAUGCAAGUCGAGCGAACGGACGAGAAGCUUGCUUUUCUGAUGUUAGCGGCGGACGGGUGAGUAACACGUGGAUAACCUACCUAUAAGACUGGGAUAACUUCGGGAAACCGGAGCUAAUACCGGAUAAUAUUUUGAACCGCAUGGUUCAAAAGUGAAAGACGGUCUUGCUGUCACUUAUAGAUGGAUCCGCGCUGCAUUAGCUAGUUGGUAAGGUAACGGCUUACCAAGGCAACGAUGAAUAGCCGACCUGAGAGGGGUAGCGCCCACACGGGAACUGAGACCCGGGCCAGGCCCCCAGGGGGGGCAGCAGUAGGGAAUCUGCCGCAAUGGGCGAAAGCCUGACGGAGCAACGCCGGGGGGGUGAAGAAGGGUUUCGGAUCGUAAAACUUUUUUAUUAGGGAAAAACAUAUGUUUAAGUAACUGUGCACAUCUGGACGGUACCAAAUCAAAAAGCCCCGGCGAACUACGU
rnacentral:rRNA from 1 species